CUACGGGACGCUCCAGUGGGGAAUAUUGGACAAUGGGGGAAACCCUGAUCCAGCAAUGCCGCGUGUGUGAAGAAGGCCUUCGGGUUGUAAAGCACUUUCAGUGGGGAAGAAAUACUUAAGGAUAAUACCCUUAAGGGCUGACAUUACCCACAGAAGAAGCACUGGCUAACUCUGUGCCAGCAGCCGCGGUAAUACAGAGAGUGCAAGCGUUAAUCGGAAUUACUGGGCGUAAAGCGCGCGUAGGUGGAUACUUAAGUCAGAUGUGAAAUCCCCGGGCUUAACCUGGGAAUUGCAUUUGAUACUGGGUAUCUAGAGUCUAGUAGAGGGAAGCGGAAUUUCCGGAGUAGCGGUGAAAUGCGUAGAUAUCGGAAAGAACACCGGUGGCGAAGGCGGCUUCCUGGACUAAUACUGACACUGAGGUGCGAAAGCGUGGGUAGCAAACAGGAUUAGAUACCCUGGUAGUC
rnacentral:rRNA from 1 species